AUAUUUUCAAAACCAUGCAUUUAAAACUCUCUUAUACUACUUUAAACAGUCAUGGCUUACCUCAAAGAAUCUUGGGAACUCUAGUUUGGUAAGGGUGCUUAUAAUUCUUAGGAGAAAUCUCUCAGAGCUAUAAUUCCCAGCACCUUGAACUAACUACAGUUCCCGGGAGUCUUUGGGGGAAACCAUGACUGUUAAAGUGAUAUAUAAAAGUGCUUUCAAUGUAUGGUGUACAUGUUGUUUUGAAAAAGGAAAGAUAUCUUGAUUUUUUUUUGAGCCAAGAUCUGCACUGGAACAGUCUGGAAAUGUGAAACGUAGGAAAUUCCCUUCUAUUAGAGUCAAACCAUUGAACCACCUAACUGAUACACAAGGUAGGAUCUGAAUGAAGAUGAGACCAGCUGUGUAUGGGCAUUAAACCAGCACACAGGUGCCCAUGAGAAAGCAGGAAUAUGCAGAUGCCCUGUAUUACUAACGCACUUGGGGCAUGGUCUCACCCGCAAACACCCUGUGUUUAACUUGUAUCCUCACACUGCCCUUGUAUCCUUUCAGAGACUAGAGUUGCUAAAUGGCUCAGAGGACAGUAGUAGCCAGAGCUCUAGGGAGGAAGUGAACAGCUGUACGUUGGAAAGCCAGAGGCUGGUUAGUCACCCAGAGCAUCUUGAAGCCUCCAGUUCAGGGAAAACAACACCACAUUCCACUGCCUUCCAGCAUGUGAAAGGAAGAGAACUUCCUGUGGCCAAUGCCGGACAAUUUUUGGAUCAGCCUGACAAGCCACUCUGUAGCCGCAAGGCUCGGAAGUUUGAUUUUGAUGGCCCAUACUUACUCUUCCCACCAGAGUCCUCUUCUCCUGAGAACCAGAAGGACUUGGAAGUUGCCUCUUUGGAAAAGAAGGAGACGCCUGUGGCUCCGCAAUUUGUGGGACUGCCUCAUUGCUCUAGUUUCCAGCAGCUUCUACCUGUGGGGAAAGAGGAAGAGCCACCAGCGUCUCCUGUCCUUGUCCGAGAGCAGGAGAAGCAACAACUUCUUCAAAGGCAGGAAAGCCGAGUGGCAAGUGACAGGUUGGAGAAGGAGGCAAAUGAAGGUUUGAGGUCACAAAGGCUUACUAGCACAAAGAACCACGGUCAAAAUGAGUCCUUAGACUACAUUGCCACAGAAGAUGUAUCACUAAGUAAAGAGAGGGACUUCUUGCUCCCCUCACCUCUGUUGACUUCAAAGGAUGGAAGCCUUCUCUGUUCUGGGAUGGCCACAGCUGCCUCUCAAUUCACCCCAACCAGGGAUGAUAUAUCAAGCUCACAGCUGGACCAGAAGAAGGAAGCAGGUCCUGUGCACCCAGCUAAUGCUCCAGUCGUGUCCCAGGACUCAUUUAGUGACUAUGUCACCAGCAUGCCCCAAACCCCAAGAUCUGUGCCAAAGGAAGGGCUUCCUUUCUCCCCAGAUGAGCCUAAACACAAGGGCUUCCUUUUAUUCCAACCUGGUGGCAACAGUAGCCCAGUUUUAUUAAGCCAGAUAGGUGAAUACUGUUUCUUCCCUGGCUCCAAGACCAUGGCAGAAGCCUCUAAGAGUCAAGCAGGAUCUGUACACCAGCAACUAUCAGAAGUUAUUCAGAAAGGCACCAAGCCUCUCUGUGAGGACAAGCAUUUUGGGAACAAGCUGCAGACCACCCCUGCCCUCUGCCAAGACUUGAGAGUGGGCAUGCCUCACGGACAUACAUGAACAUCAUUCUGUUGACUUUCCUUUUGUCACUAGUAUUGGAGCUUUCUUCCCAUUGUGAAAAGCAGAGGGGGUGUGUGCUUGUGUGGUCCCUUCCAAGUCUACAAUUCUUUGGUUCUGUAGGAAUGGCAGCAGGGACAAGUGCCCCCUCCUCUCACAACACAGACCUGUUUGCCCUAAAAAGGGAUACAGUGGUGCCUCGCAAGACGAAAUUAAUUCGUUCCGCAAGUCUCUUCGUCUUGCGAGUUUUUCGUCUUGCGAUGCACGGUUUCCCAUAGGAAUGCAUUGAAAAUCAAUUAAUGCGUUCCUAGGGAAACCGCCUUCAGACCAGGUCCGGGGACAGUCUGUCCCCCGACCUCUUCUGAAGGCUGGGGGGGGGACAAGGGCUUUUCUUCCCACCCCCAGCAUUUUAAAAAACCCCGGGACAGCGGAGGACUUCUCCACUGUCCGGGGCGAUUUAAAAGCCCCUGGGAAGGCAGGCAGGGGG
rnacentral:lncRNA from 1 species